AACGAACGGUGGCGGCGUGGAUAAGACAUGCAAGUCGAACGGGACCUUCAGUGUAGCAAUACAUUGAAAGUUCAGUGGCGUAAGGGUGCGUAACACGUGGGAAAUCUGCCGAGAAGUGGGGGAUAGCUCGCCGAAAGGCGAAUUAAUACCGCAUGUGGUCAGCGAGGACAUCCUCGCGAAACCAAAGCCGGGGCAACCUGGCGCUUCUUGAUGAUCCCGCGGCCUAUCAGCUAGUUGGCGGGGUAAAAGCCCACCAAGGCUAUGACGGGUAGCUGGUCUGAGAGGACGACCAGCCACACUGGAACUGAGACACGGUCCAGACACCUACGGGUGGCAGCAGUCGAGAAUUUUUCUCAAUGGGGGAAACCCUGAAGGAGCGACGCCGCGUGGAGGAUGAAGGUCUUCGGAUUGUAAACUCCUGUCAUUAGGGAACAAAUCUUCCAAGUAACUACUGGAAGUCUGAUAGUACCUGAAGAGGAAGGGACGGCUAACUCUGUG
rnacentral:rRNA from 1 species